rnacentral:rRNA from 1 species
GAUAUGGGGAGGAGCGGUAUUUGCGACGGUGGCUCCCUGGCGCUUUCGUGACUCUGAGAGGGGAAAGCUACGGGAGCGAAUAUGCUCAGAGACCCUGGUAGUCCUAGCCCUAAACGCUGGAUGCUAGAUGUAGAGCUGCUGAGACUCUGUCCCGGAUCGAGAACAAUAAGCUUCCGGGCUGGUACCUACGGCCGCAAGGCUAUAUACACACAACGAAUUGACGGGGACCCGCACAAGCAGCGGAGCGUGUUGGUUUAAUUCGAUGCUACACGAAGUUCCUUACCUGGGUUUGACAUGCUGGUAGUACCGGACCGAUAGGGGAGGGGUCCUUCGGGGAGCCAACACAGGUGCUGCAUGGCUGUCGUCAGCUCGUGCCGUGAGGUGUCGGGUUAAGUCCCGUAACGAGCGCAACCCUUGCUCUUAGUUAUACGUGUCUAAGGGGACUGCCGGCGACAAGCGAGAGGAAGGUGGGGAUGACGUCAAGUCAGCAUGGCCUUGAUAUCCAGGGCUACACACACGCUACAAUGGCCGGUACAAAGGGCAGCCAAGCCGCGAGGUGGAGCGAAUCCCAGCAAAGCCGGUCCCAGUUUUGAUUGCAGACGGACACCCUCCUGCAUGAAGUUGGAGUUGCUAGUAACCCCGCGUCUCCCAUAGUGCGCUGAAUAACACCCGGGUUUUGUACACUCCGCCCGUCACGUCAUGGGAGUUGGCAACGCCUGACCCCGGUAGCCUAACCGAAAGGAAGGCGCCGUCUAAGGCGGGGC